rnacentral:rRNA from 1 species
AUUGAACGCUGGCGGCAGGCCUAACACAUGCAAGUCGGACGGUAGCACAGAGGAGCUUGCUCCUCGGGUGACGAGUGGCGGACGGGUGAGUAAUGUCUGGGGAUCUGCCCGAUAGAGGGGGAUAACCACUGGAAACGGUGGCUAAUACCGCAUAACGUCGCAAGACCAAAGAGGGGGACCUUCGGGCCUCUAACUAUCGGAUGAACCCAGAUGGGAUUAGCUAGUAGGCGGGGUAACGGCCCACCUAGGCGACGAUCCCUAGCUGGUCUGAGAGGAUGACCAGCCACACUGGAACUGAGACACGGUCCAGACUCCUACGGGAGGCAGCAGUGGGGAAUAAUGCACAAUGGGCGCAAGCCUGAUGCAGCCAUGCCGCGUGUAUGAAGAAGGCCUUCGGGUUGUAAAGUACUUUCAGCGGGGAGGAAGGCGAUGUGGUUAAUAACCGCAUUGAUUGACGUUACCCGCAGAAGAAGCACCGGCUAACUCCGUGCCAGCCGCCGCAGUAA